GACGAACGCUGGCGGCGUGCUUAACACAUGCAAGUCGAGCGGUAAGGCCCUUUCGGGGGUACACGAGCGGCGAACGGGUGAGUAACACGUGGGUGACCUGCCCUCAGCUCUGGGAUAAGCCUGGGAAACCGGGUCUAAUACCGGAUAUGACUCCAUGACGCAUGUUGUGGGGUGGAAAGCCUUGUGCGGCUGAGGAUGGGCCCGCGGCCUAUCAGCUUGUUGGUGGGGUGAUGGCCUACCAAGGCGACGACGGGUAGCCGGCCUGAGAGGGCGACCGGCCACACUGGGACUGAGACACGGCCCAGACUCCUACGGGAGGCAGCAGUGGGGAAUCUUGCGCAAUGGGCGAAAGCCUGACGCAUCGACGCCGCGUGA
rnacentral:rRNA from 1 species